rnacentral:rRNA from 1 species
AGUGAACGCUGGCGGUAGGCCUAACACAUGCAAGUCGAACGGCAGCACAGUAAGAGCUUGCUCUUACGGGUGGCGAGUGGCGUACGGGUGAGGAAUACAUCGGAAUCUACUUUUUCGUGGGGGAUAACGUAGGGAAACUUACGCUAAUACCGCAUACGACCUACGGGUGAAAGCAGGGGAUCUUCGGACCUUGCGCGAUUGAAUGAGCCGAUGUCGGAUUAGCUAGUUGGCGGGGUAAAGGCCCACCAAGGCGACGAUCCGUAGCUGGUCUGAGAGGAUGAUCAGCCACACUGGAACUGAGACACGGUCCAGACUCCUACGGGAGGCAGCAGUGGGGAAUAUUGGACAAUGGGCGCAAGCCUGAUCCAGCCAUACCGCGUGGGUGAAGAAGGCCUUCGGGUUGUAAAGCCCUUUUGUUGGGAAAGAAAAGCAGCAGGUUAAUACCCCGCUGUUCUGACGGUACCCAACGAAUAAGCACCGGCUAACUUCGUG